rnacentral:rRNA from 15 species
CGGCCCAGACUCCUACGGGAGGCAGCAGUGGGGAAUAUUGGACAAUGGGCGAAAGCCUGAUCCAGCGACGCCGCGUGAGGGAUGACGGCCUUCGGGUUGUAAACCUCUUUCAGCAGGGAAGAAGCGAAAGUGACGGUACCUGCAGAAGAAGCACCGGCUAACUACGUGCCAGCAGCCGCGGUAAUACGUAGGGUGCAAGCGUUGUCCGGAAUUAUUGGGCGUAAAGAGCUCGUAGGCGGUGUGUCGCGUCUGCUGUGAAAACUCAGGGCUCAACUCUGAGCUUGCAGUGGGUACGGGCACACUUGAGUGCGGUAGGGGAGACUGGAAUUCCUGGUGUAGCGGUGAAAUGCGCAGAUAUCAGGAGGAACACCGGUGGCGAAGGCGGGUCUCUGGGCCGUAACUGACGCUGAGGAGCGAAAGCAUGGGGAGCGAACAGGAUUAGAUACCCUGGUAGUCCAUGCCGUAAACGUUGGGCGCUAGGUGUGGGGUCCAUUCCACGGAUUCCGUGCCGCAGCUAACGCAUUAAGCGCCCCGCCUGGGGAGUACGGCCGCAAGGCUAAAACUCAAAGGAAUUGACGGGGGCCCGCACAAGCGGUGGAUGAUGUGGAUUAAUUCGAUGCAACGCGAAAAACCUUACCUACCCUUGACAUGUC